UGGGGAAUUUUGCGCAAUGGGCGAAAGCCUGACGCAGCAACGCCGCGUGGAGGAUGAAGGCCUUCGGGUCGUAAACUCCUGUCGACGGGGAAGAAAGCCGAAAGGUUUGACUGUACCCGUUGAGGAAGCCACGGCUAACUCCGUGCCAGCAGCCGCGGUAAUACGGAGGUGGCAAGCGUUGUUCGGAAUUACUGGGCGUAAAGGGCGCGUAGGCGGCAUGGCAAGUCAGAUGUGAAAGCCCCGGGCUUAACCUGGGAACUGCAUCUGAAACUGUUGUGCUUGAGUUCUGGAGGGGGUAGUGGAAUUCCCAGUGUAGCGGUGAAAUGCGUAGAUAUUGGGAGGAACACCUGCGGCGAAGGCGGCUACCUGGACAGAUACUGACGCUGAGGCGCGAAAGCUAGGGGAGCAAACGGG
rnacentral:rRNA from 2 species